GAUGAACGCUGGCGGCGUGCCUAAUACAUGCAAGUCGAGCGAACAGACGAGGAGCUUGCUCCUCUGACGUUAGCGGCGGACGGGUGAGUAACACGUGGAUAACCUACCUAUAAGACUGGGAUAACUUCGGGAAACCGGAGCUAAUACCGGAUAACAUGUUGAACCGCAUGGUUUAACAGUGAAAGACGGUCUUGCUGUCACUUAUAGAUGGAUCCGCGCCGCAUUAGCUAGUUGGUAAGGUAACGACUUACCAAGGCAACGAUGCGUAGCCGACCUGAGAGGGUGAUCGGCCACACUGGAACUGAGACACGGUCCAGACUCCUACGGGAGGCAGCAGUAGGGAAUCUUCCGCAAUGGGCGAAAGCCUGACGGAGCAACGCCGCGUGAGUGAAGAAGGUCUUCGGAUCGUAAAACUCUGUUAUUAGGGAAGAACAAAUGUGUAAGUAACUAUGCACGUCUUGACGGUACCUAAUCAGAAAGCCACGGCUAACUACGUG
rnacentral:rRNA from 1 species